ACAACUUCUCCAAACUUUUCCCCAUUGCACACAUGAUCAACACCCACUCCUCUCUGCAGCCCCAAACAGUGAUAAGAUGUGCAGAGGCCACCAGCCCAAGAGGCUGGGGCCGAGUUUCCCUUCCAGAAAGGGGCAGCUGGGCUGAAGGUGGCCAGAAGGGAUGAAGCAAGCGUGGAAAUCUUCACUCCCCGCCCCUUAGUUCCCUGCUAUAAAAGAUCCGUGCUCACUGGAGGUAGUGAUUUGAGUCAGUACCCAUCCAGCAAUCCCGGAUCCUGGUGAUCCUGGACCCUGCUCCUCCAAUGGGAAGGACUUUUCCAGGCCGGUGCCCACCAGCUCGUGACCAGCUUCCAGAAUCCCUUGGAGAAAACACACAGGGAAAUUGCUGUAAAUCCACUUAAUGAUGGAGAAGUCCCAAAACACCAUAUUCCAAAGGAUGAAAAAUGCAGGAUGCAAAUGAGAAAGAAUCAAGGUCAAUAACACCAC